rnacentral:tRNA from 1 species
GCCCCCGUAGCCCAACCGGCAGAGGCUUCUCCCUUAAAAGGGGACCAGUGUGGGUUCGAGCCCCACCGGGGGCA